UACAGGGGGUGCAAACGUUGCUCGGAAUCAUUGGGCGUAAAGCGCACGUAGGCGGUCUGUUAUGUCGGAUGUGAAAGCCCUUAGCUUAACUGAGGAAGUGCAUCCGAAACUGGCAGGCUAGAGUACUAAAGAGGGUCGCGGAAUUCCCGGUGUAGAGGUGAAAUUCGUAGAUAUCGGGAGGAACACCGGUGGCGAAGGCGGCGACCUGGGUAGAUACUGACGCUGAGGUGCGAAAGCGUGGGGAGCAAACAGG
rnacentral:rRNA from 1 species